rnacentral:rRNA from 1 species
CGGAGGCUACCGCUAUUGGAGUUCGAUUAAGCCAUGCGAGUCGCGAGAAAUUAGAUUCUCGGCAUACCACUCAGUAACACGUGGGUAACCUGCCCUAUGCUGGAUAAUAACCUCGGGAAACUGAGUAUAAUGAUCCAUAGUUCACUACGCCUGGAACGGUGAGUGGAUGAAAGCUCCGGCGGCAUAGGAUGGGCCUGCGGCGUAUCAGGUAGUAGGGGGUGUAACGUACCCUCUAGCCCUCUACGCGUACGGGUGUUGGGAGACAUAGCCCGGAGAUGGAUUCUGAGACACGAAUCCAGACCCUACGGGGUGCAGCAGGCGCGAAAACUUGGCAAUGCGAGAAAUCGUGACCAGGGAACUCCAAGUGCAUCGGGUAAGACCGGUGCUUUUCUUGACUCUAAAUAGGUCUUGGAAUAAGGGGUGGGUAAGGACGGUGCCAGCCGCCGCGGUAAUACCGGCGCCUCAAGUGGUAGUCGCUUUUAUUGGGCCUAAAACGUCCGUAGCCGGUCUGAUACAUUCGUGGGUAAAUCAACCAGCUCAACUGGUUGAAUUCUGCGAGGACGGUCAGACUUGGGACCGGGAGAGGUGUGGGGUACGCUCAGGGUAGGGGUAAAAUCCUGUCAUCCUGAGCGGACCACCUGUUGCGAAGGCGCCACACUAGAACGGAUCCGACGGUCAGGGACGAAGCCUAGGGGCACGAACCGGAUUAGAUACCCGGGUAGUCCUAGGUGUAAACGCUGUGGACUUGAUGUUGGGGGUGCUCCGAGCACUCUCAGUGUCGAAGCGAAGGUGAUAAGUCCACUGCCUGGGAAGUACGGUCGCAAGGCUGAAACUUAAAGGAAUUGGCGGGG